rnacentral:lncRNA from 1 species
UUGCCUCAUACUUCUGCCACGCUUAUGCCAACACAUCAACUGCGCUUUAUGGAGCUUCCAGCUCACUGCAUCUGUGGCCCUCACUUCUCUGCCAGACUCCAUGUCCCGAAGGCUGACCUUGCAGAGUGCACCACCUGGGCUACCUGUUCAGUUCAACCAACAAGAAUUGUCCUCUUCCACUGCCUCAAUGCUAAGGAUCCAACUGUGGCUUCUCCUUUUAUAACAACUCCUGAUAGACUCUUACCAUAAC